UACGAAGGGAGCUAGCGUUGCUCGGAAUUACUGGGCGUAAAGGGCGCGUAGGCGGUUUCGAUAGUCGGGCGUGAAAUCCCCAGGCUCAACUUGGGAAUUGCGUUCGAUACUGCGAGACUUGAGUGAGGGAGAGGAUAGUGGAAUUCCCAGUGUAGAGGUGAAAUUCGUAGAUAUUGGGAAGAACACCAGUGGCGAAGGCGGCUAUCUGGACCUCAACUGACGCUGAGGCGCGAAGGCGUGGGGAGCAAACAGG
rnacentral:rRNA from 1 species